rnacentral:rRNA from 1 species
UACGUAGGGUGCAAGCGUUGUCCGGAAUUAUUGGGCGUAAAGAGCUCGUAGGCGGCUUGUCGCGUCGGCUGUGAAAACCCGGGGCUCAACCCCGGGCCUGCAGUCGAUACGGGCAGGCUGGAGUUCGGUAGGGGAGACUGGAAUUCCUGGUGUAGCGGUGAAAUGCGCAGAUAUCAGGAGGAACACCGGUGGCGAAGGCGGGUCUCUGGGCCGAUACUGACGCUGAGGAGCGAAAGCGUGGGGAGCGAACAGG